CCUGAUCCAGCCAUGCCGCGUGAGUGAUGAAGGCCUUCGGGUUGUAAAACUCUUUCAGAUGUGAAGAUGAUGACGGUAGCAUCGGAAGAAGCCCCGGCUAACUUCGUGCCAGCAGCCGCGGUAAUACGAGGGGGGCGAGCGUUGUUCGGAAUCACUGGGCUUAAAGCGUGCGUAGGCGGAUUAUCAAGUCAGAAGUGAAAUCCCGGGGCUUAACCCCGGAACUGCUUUUGAAACUGAUAGUCUAGAAUCCGGUAGGGGUUAAUGGAAUAUCCAGUGUAGAGGUGAAAUUCGCAGAUAUUGGAUAGAACACCAGUGGCGAAGGCGAUUAACUGGGCCGGUAUUGACGCUGAGGUACGAAAGCGUGGGGAGCAAACAGGAUU
rnacentral:rRNA from 1 species